AUGAUUAUCUGUUAGAAUCAAAUUAGACUGAUUGAUUGAAUCUCAACAUUUGGAAUUGAAUCCCAACGAAUUCAGCAACUAUCAUUCCAAAAACCCACAUCACCAGAUCUCGAGUUUAUGGCAAAAACCUCAAGAGGGGCAGCUUAAAUGUAACGUAGUGCAGCAGUUUUUCAUCAGCAGCAAAAAAUUGGCAUGGGUAUCUGUCUAACGAAUUU
rnacentral:lncRNA from 1 species